rnacentral:rRNA from 1 species
GAACGCUAGCGACAGGCCUAACACAUGCAGGUCGAGGGGCAGCACGAAUCAAGCUUGCUUGAUUUGGUGGCGACCGGCGCACGGGUGCGUAACAGGUGUGCAAUCUGUCCAUAAUCGGGGAAUAGCCCAGCGAAAGUUGGAUUAAUGCUCCAUGUGAGUUUUAGAGGCAUCUCUUUAACUUGAAACGCAAGGAUUAUGGGUGAGCACGCUUCUGAUUAGGUAGUUGGUGAGGUAAUGGCUCACCAAGCCGACGAUGUCUAGGGGUUCUGAGAGGAAGGUCCCCCACACUGGAACUGAGACACGGUCCAGACUCCUACGGGAGGCAGCAGUGAGGAAUAUUGGUCAAUGGUCGAGAGACUGAACCAGCCAUGCCGCGUGAAGGUCACGGCCCUAUGGGUCUUAAACUUCUUUUGUAAGGGAGCAAUAAGUCUUACGUGUAGGAUGAUGAGAGUACCUUACGAAUAAGCAUCGGCUAACUCCGUG